rnacentral:ncRNA from 2 species
CCCUUAUUCAGAGUGAUGGAGAUAAAAGGAUCUGUGAAGUCACGGCAACCCCGGCCUGAAUGACGCACACUGGUGUGCAGUCAGGAGAGGACGGAAGGUGCCAACCUGAGCGAGAAAUCGAGCAAUAAGAG